rnacentral:rRNA from 1 species
GACGAACGCUGGCGGCGUGCUUAACACAUGCAAGUCGAACGGAAAGGCCCUGCUUUUGUGGGGUGCUCGAGUGGCGAACGGGUGAGUAACACGUGAGUAACCUGCCCUUGACUUUGGGAUAACUUCAGGAAACUGGGGCUAAUACCGGAUAGGAGCUCCUUCUGCAUGGUGGGGGUUGGAAAGUUUCGGCGGUUGGGGAUGGACUCGCGGCUUAUCAGCUUGUUGGUGGGGUAGUGGCUUACCAAGGCUUUGACGGGUAGCCGGCCUGAGAGGGUGACCGGCAACAUUGGGACUGAGAAACGGCCCAGACUCCGACGGGAGGCAGAAGUGGGGAAUAUUGCAAAAGGGGCGGAAGCCUGAUGCAGAAACGCCGCGUGCGGGAUGACGGCCUUCGGGUUGUAAACCGCUUUCGCCUGUGACGAAGUGUGAGUGACGGUAAUGGGUAAAGAAGCACCGGCUAACUACGUG